ACGAACGCUGGCGGCGUGCCUAAUACAUGCAAGUCGAACGGUCUUUCUAUGGAAGCUUGCUUCCACUGAGAAGAUAGUGGCGAACGGGUGAGUAACACGUGGGUAACCUGCCCAUAAGAGGGGGGAUAACAUCCGGAAACGGGUGCUAAUACCGCAUAGUUUUCUUGAUCGCAUGAUUGAGAAAGGAAAGACGGCCUUUGUGCUGUCGCUUAUGGAUGGACCCGCGGCGUAUUAGUUAGUUGGUGAGGUAAUGGCUCACCAAGACGAUGAUACGUAGCCGACCUGAGAGGGUGAUCGGCCACAUUGGGACUGAGACACGGCCCAAACUCCUACGGGAGGCAGCAGUAGGGAAUCUUCCGCAAUGGACGAAAGUCUGACGGAGCAACGCCGCGUGAGUGAAGAAGGUUUUUUCGGAUCGUAAAACUCUGUUGUCAGAGAAGAACAAGUUGGAGAGUAACUGCUCCAGCCUUGACGGUAUCUGACCAGAAAGCCACGGCUAACUACGUGCCAGCCGCUGC
rnacentral:rRNA from 1 species